AACGAACGCUGGCGGCAUGCCUAACACAUGCAAGUCGAACGAGACCUUCGGGUCUAGUGGCGCACGGGUGCGUAACGCGUGGGAAUCUGCCCUUCGGUUGGGAAUAACUGAGAGAAAUUUCAGCUAAUACCUUAUAAUGUCUUCGGACCAAAGAUUUAUCGCCGAGGGAUGAGCCCGCGUAGGAUUAGGUAGUUGGUGGGGUAAUGGCCUACCAAGCCGACGAUCCUUAGCUGGUCUGAGAGGAUGAUCAGCCACACUGGGACUGAGACACGGCCCAGACUCCUACGGGAGGCAGCAGUGGGGAAUAUUGGACAAUGGGCGAAAGCCUGAACCAGCAAUGCCGCGUGAGUGAUGAAGGCCUUAGGGUUGUAAAGCUCUUUUACCCGGGAUGAUAAUGACAGUACCGGGAGAAUAAGCUCCGGCUAACUCCGUG
rnacentral:rRNA from 1 species